rnacentral:rRNA from 1 species
AGUAUACUGGCUGACGUCUGGCAUUCAUCGUUUACGGUGUGGACUACCAGGGUAUCUAAUCCUGUUUGCUCCCCACACUUUCGCACCUCAGCGUCAGUAUCGAGCCAGUAAGCCGCCUUCGCCACUGGUGUUCCUCCGAAUAUCUACGAAUUUCACCUCUACACUCGGAAUUCCACUUACCUCUCUCGAACUCAAGACUAGCAGUAUUAAAGGCAGUUCCAGGGUUGAGCCCUGGGAUUUCACCUCUAACUUACUAAUCCGCCUACGUGCGCUUUACGCCCAGUAAUUCCGAACAACGCUAACCCCCUCCGUAUUACCGCGGCUGCUGGCACGGAGUUAGCCGGGGUUUCUUUACCAGAUACUGUCAUUAUCAUCUCUGGCGAAAGUGCUUUACGACCCUAAGGCCUUCAUCACACACGCGGCAUGGCUAGAUCAGGGUUUCCCCCAUUGUCUAAGAUUCCCUACUGCUGCCUCCCGUAGGAGUCUGGGCCGUGUCUCAGUCCCAGUGUGGCUGAUCAUCCUCUCAAACCAGCUAUAGAUCGUAGGCUUGGUAGGCCAUUACCCCACCAACUACCUAAUCUAACGCGGGCUAAUCCUUCUCCGAUAAAUCUUUCCCCCGAAGGGCGUAUAAGGUAUUACUCUCAGUUUCCCGAGGCUAUUCCUUAGAGAAGGGCAUAUUCCCACGCGUUACUCACCCGUCCGCCGCUCAUCCCGAAGGAUGCGCUCGACUUGCAUGUAUUAGGCCUGCCGCCAGCGUUCGUUCUGAGCCAGGAUCAAACUCU